rnacentral:rRNA from 1 species
GAGCGGAUGACGGGAGCUUGCUCCCUGAUUUAGCGGCGGACGGGUGAGUAAUGCCUAGGAAUCUGCCUGGUAGUGGGGGAUAACGUUCCGAAAGGAACGCUAAUACCGCGUACGUCCUACGGGAGAAAGCAGGGGACCUUCGGGCCUUGCGCUAUCAGAUGAGCCUAGGUCGGAUUAGCUAGUUGGUGAGGUAAUGGCUCACCAAGGCGACGAUCCGUAACUGGUCUGAGAGGAUGAUCAGUCACACUGGAACUGAGACACGGUCCAGACUCCUACGGGAGGCAGCAGUGGGGAAUAUUGGACAAUGGGCGAAAGCCUGAUCCAGCCAUGCCGCGUGUGUGAAGAAGGUCUUCGGAUUGUAAAGCACUUUAAGUUGGGAGGAAGGGCAGUAAGUUAAUACCUUGCUGUUUUGACGUUACCGACAGAAUAAGCACCGGCUAACUUCGUGCCAGCAGCCGCGGUAAUACGAAGGGUGCAAGCGUUAAUCGGAAUUACUGGGCGUAAAGCGCGCGUAGGUGGUUCAUUAAGUUGGAUGUGAAAUCCCCGGGCUCAACCUGGGAACUGCAUCCAAAACUGGUGAGCUAGAGUACGGUAGAGG